rnacentral:rRNA from 1 species
CAACACCAUCUUUUCUUGAUAAAAUAAGAAGUAUUGCCUGCCCCCAUGCAUUUUGUAAAUGGCCGCAGUAUUCUGACUGUGCUAAGGUAGCAUAAUCAUUAGUCUUUUAAUUGAAGGCUGGUAUGAAUGGUAAGACGAGAAAAUAGCUGUCUCUGAAGUAAAUUUUUUGAAUUUUAUUUUUAAGUGAAAAAGCUUAAAUGUGUUUGGGGGACGAUCAGACCCUCUGGAGCUUUAUUACUCUUUUUAUUUAUAUUAAUUUCACAUGAUGAGAUAUUAAGCGGAAUUUUGUUGGGGCGACAGGGAGAUAAAAAUAACACUCCUUUUUUUAGACACUUCUUGGUGGUAUAUUGAUCCUCAGUGCGAGAUUAAAAGAUUAAGUUACCCUAGGGAUAACAGCGUAAUCUUUUUGGAGAGUUCUAAUCGAUAAAAAGGUUUGCGACCUCGAUGUUGGAUUAAGAAAUUAGCAAGGUGCAGAAGU